GAUGAACGCUGGCGGCGUGCCUAAUACAUGCAAUUCGAGCGAACGGACGAGAAGCUUGCUUCUCUGAUGUUAGCGGCGGACGGGUGAGUAACACGUGGAUAACCUACCUAUAAGACUGGGAUAACUUCGGGAAACCGGUGCUAAUACCGGCUGAUAUUUUGAACCGCAUGGUUCAAAAGUGAAAGACGGUCUUGCUGUCACUUAUAGAUUGAUCCGCGCUGCAUUAGCUAGAUGGUAAGGUAACGGCUUACCAAGGCAACGAUGCAUAGCCGACCUGAGAGGAUGAUCGGCCACACUGGAACUGAGACACGGUCCAGACUCCUACGGGAGGCAGCAGUAGGGAAUAUUCCGCAAUGGGCGAAAGCCUGACGGAGCAACGCCGCGUGAGUGAUGAAGGUCUUCGGAUCGUAAAACUCUGUUAUUAGGGAAGAACAUAUGUGUAAGUAACUGUGCACAUCUUGACGGUACCUAAUCAGAAAGCCACGGCUAACUACGUG
rnacentral:rRNA from 1 species